AUGGUGACAAAGAGAGGCAAGGUAAUCCACACAGAAGGGGUCUCACUCCCAGAAGGAACAAUAGCAGACAUUGAGGACAAUUACAAGUACCUUGGAAUACCACAGGCAAACGGCAACCUUGAACAGGCAACAAGGAAUGCAGCAACAGCCAAAUACCUCCAACGAGUAAGGCAAGUCCUAAGAAGCCAGCUCAAUGGCAAGAACAAAUCCCAGGCAAUAAACAGCUACGCUCUGCCAGUGAUCAGAUACCCUGCGGGAAUAAAAGGGUGGCCAAAGGAAGAGAUACAGACCACAGAUGUUAAGACACGAAAGCUCCUCACCAUGCAUGGAGGGUUCCACCCCAAAUCCAGCACCCUGAGACUAUACGCUAGCCGCAAGGAAGGAGGCCGAGGACUAGUGAGCGUGAGAGCCACUAUCCAGGAUGAAACAUCCAAGAUCCAUAAGUACAUCAAGGAUAAGGCCCCGACAGAUGACGUGCUGAGUGAAUGUCUCAGGCAGUGGAGCACAGAGGAUGAGAUGCUGGAAGAGGGACCAUCAUGGGAGGACAAGCCCUUACACGGGAUGUACCACCGAAACAUAACUGAAGUGGCUGAUCUCAACAAACCCUACCAAUGGCUUGAAAGGGCUGGGCUGAAGGACAGCACAGAGGCACUCAUCCUGGCUGCACAGGAGCAGGCCCUGAGCACCAGAGCCAUAGAGGCCCAGAUCUACCACACCAGACAAGACCCAAGGUGUAGACUGUGCAAAGAGGUCCCAGAGACGGUCCAGCACAUAACUGCAGGGUGUAAGAUGCUGGCAGGCAAAGCAUACAUGGAACGCCAUAACCAAGUGGCUGGCAUAGUAUACAGGAACAUCUGCGCGGAGUAUGGACUGGAAACCCCAAGGUCAAAGUGGGAAACACCUCCCAAGGUGGUAGAGAACGAGCGAGCCAAGAUCCUGUGGGACUUCCAGAUCCAGACUGACAGAAUGGUAAUGGCGAACCAACCAGACAUUGUGGUGGUGGAUAAAGAGCAGAGGAAAGCCCUAGUGGUGGAUGUGGCAAUACCAAGCGAUGGCAACAUCAGGAAAAAGGAACAUGAGAAACUAGAGACAUACCAAGGGCACAGAGAAGAACUGGAGAAGGCUUGGAAGGUGAAGGCCACAGUGGUGCCUGUGGUGAUCGGAGCACUGGGGGCUGUGACCCCCAAACUGGAGGAGUGGCUACGACAGAUCCCUGGAAAAACAUCCGAAAUCUCAGUCCAGAAAAGUGCAGUCCUGGGAACGGCAAGGAUGCUGCGCAGAACCCUCAAGCUCCCUGGCCUCUGGUAG
rnacentral:lncRNA from 1 species